rnacentral:rRNA from 1 species
GACGAACGCUGGCGGCGUGCUUAACACAUGCAAGUCGAACGGAAAGGCCCGCUUUUCCUGGUGGACUGCGGGGACUAACGGGGCGAACGGGCGAGUAUCACGUGCGUGAUCUGUUGGCAACUCGUGUAGAAGCUGGGGAAACUGCGGGUAAUGCGCGCCUGGUCCGCGGGGUGGGGUGGGAGGUGGCAGACGUUGUGCAUGUGCUCGGGGUUGAGCAGGCGGUCUAUCAGCUUGUGGGUGGGGUCAUGGCCUACCAAGGCGGCGACGGGUAGCCGGCCUGGGAGGGUGGGCGGCCACAUUGGGACUGAGAUACGGCCCCGACUCCUACGGGAGGCAGCAGUGGGGAAUAUUGAGCGAUGGGCGGAAGCCUGAGGCAGCGACGCCGCGUGGGGGAUGACGGCCUUCGGGUUGUAAACUCCUUUCGACCGCGAGGAAGCCACCUGGUUGGAAGGGUGGUGACGGUAGUGGUAGAAGAAGCACCGGCUAACUACGUG